rnacentral:lncRNA from 1 species
UUUUUUUUUUUUUUUUUUGUAUUUUUCCCAAAAGAUGAGUUUGAAUAUAUUUACACUUAAUUUGCCUUGUGAAAAGACAAGUUUAAUGUUUUUCAAUAUUUUUAAAAUUAAAAAUAAUUAUAUAUAUAAAAAAAAGAAUAUAUAAAUAGGAAAUCUAGAGAGCCAAUAUAUUUUUUACGCCAUUAUUUGAAAAAAGGCUAAGUGGAUAUCAAGCUGGUUGUGGCUACUCUCCAACCCAAUAACGUUUUGGGCUGGUCUAACCACCAUUGAAUAAGAGAUGGGACUCUUUUACAAAGAGUAAAAACAAAUUUAAUAUAAAAAUUUUACACUUAAUUUUCAAAAUAAUGUCAUUACAAUAUAUUAUUAUUAUAUUGAAUUUAUCUUUUUAAAGGUUGAGGUAGAAUUUUCAAUAUUUUAAUAAUAUUUUUUUUAAAAUUGUGCCUUGGGCACCCAAAUGGAAUGUAAUGCAAUCCCACGACACCUUUUCCUUUUGUGGGUGGACUCCCAUACAAAGGAACUGCCAUUGGAGCAGUAAAGGGACCUCAAAUAAAUUUUCACCAAAAAGAAAUAUAUCAUUAGAAAAUACCAUUAAAGCAAGUAAUGGGUCUUAAAUAUUAUGCAUUUUUUGUAAUACCCAUUGAAAAGGAAAUGCAAAUAAAUUGAUGCCUAUUUUUUUUUUUUUAAUGAUUCUUGAAUUUGGCUUUAUAUAAGAACAAGGGGAAUUUAGAAGAUGACUUUGUAAACAAGAAGUGAUGAAUAGGAAGGAGAAUAUGCCAAAUAGACUUUGCUUCACAACAAGGCAAGUACUUAAAAAAUAGUAGAGAAUAGUAAAAAAAAACAAAAAAUUAAAUUCAAAAAAUAAAAGCAUUGACAGCCUAUCCACAUGUGAUUAAAAGUUUUAGGGCUAUAAUCACUUUCCACUACUUCCCUUAUCAAUUUUCUUCCUUCAGGAAAGAGACCACCUUCAUUCAGAAACCAACCAUCUCUCUCUCUCAGGUUGAAAACUUCUGGGUUUUUUUUUUUUUUCUUUCUGGGGUUUUAGAUCUUUUUUAGGGUUUAAUGGGUUUACUGUGUUGUUUUGGUCUUUGUGAUUAUCAUAAUAUAAUUCUUAAGCCUUUCUUAUUGGGUAGAUCUAUUUUUCCACUCUGAUUCCAGUUUUCUUCAUACAGAUCUUUGAAUGGGGUUGCUGUGGAUGGUCUGCUAGCUAGUUUUUGGUGAAAAUCCAACUGGGUUUCUGCUUGAUUGCUGAGAAAUUAUAGGAAAACAAAUUAGAACUUGGGAGUUUUUGACAGGUUGGAGUAUGAUAGCAUCCAGCUGGAAGAUUCCCAAUUUUUUUUUUUCCUGUUUCCUGGUUUAUUUAAAUUGGAUGAUUCAAUCAUUGAUAAUUGAUUGGUUCUCUCUUCAUUUUCUUUCUUCACAGUAAAGAAAAUAAAGAUCCGAUAAGACAUGGCUACUGAUGGGCCAAGCUGGGCUGAUCAAUGGGGUGCAGGAGGGAUAGGAGCCAUGGAAGAUGAUGAUGAGAAAACCAAGAAGGACAGCAGCAGCAGCAAGAAGAAGACAGAUGCUAAGGCUACAGCUGCAGCUGGACUGGGCAAAGCCAAGGCUGCAGCAAUGGUAGGAGCACAGAAGAUCAAAAGCGGAACAUCAAUCGGCAUCAAAUGGGUAAAGAAUCAAUGCCAGAAGAAGGGUUCUUCCAAAUAAAUCAACCAGAUUGUUCAACUUCAAUUGCAUGAAAGAAGAGUAUGUUGUGAAUGACUUUGCUUUGUGUUAUGAUCUUCUCUUUUUCCAUUUUUCACCAGAUUCCCAUCAAGAAAAUGUCAAUUGUUUGUGCGCAAAAAAGAUUCAUCUGUUACCUAAUGAUUUUGUGCAUAUAAUAUGAGUCUAUCCGUCUACCUUACAUCACUUAAACCACCAUGAAGGUUCAAACUUGGAACCUGAUUCAUUGCCAGAGGGCACAACCACCAAGCUAAACCUAAACCCGGGCAGCUCGCUAUCAUGAUGAUGGAAACCUUAGUAUCUCUGUAUUAACAAUAUUUCACCAUGAUUCCAGAUGAAAAUACAAAUCACCAUCUAUGCUUAUACUUUUGCGAUUCCAUGGAAAGCCCUCCAACAAGAACAGAAAAGCUAUAGGGGAAGUUUCUUAAAAUUUAAUUUCAUCAACGAAAAUCUCAGCUGUAAAGAUUCAAACAUAAAAUCAAACUACUUGCAUAAUCCAAUUAUUGUUACUAAUCAACAUUGACUAGGGUAAAGUGUAUGGGAAAGCAGGGUGGCCAUUGAAUGUAAGGGAACUGACGAGAAUUUACAGCUUUGAGGUUCUAUUUGCAGAAUCCGAAUGUGUUCUCACCACUGUAGGUCAUGUAGAGAAAACCAUCUUCAUCCUUGUUUUCCUCAUAGAUAGCAGACAUCAAUGCAGCUGUGACAACAGAAACUAUAUUACAAACACAAUUUUGAAGAACAGUAUGCCACUAAAUUAUAGCAUUUUGCACUAACCAGUUGACGGUAGAGUGUUCUUGACAAAGACAAAUAUGGCUUUCUCAGCACUGAGCUUAAUCCUUUUCCGGAUGACAUAAACAAACUGCCCCACAGUCAAAUCUGCAGGAACCAAGUAUCUGCAUUCACAAGAACAGAGAUGCAAGGAAGUGAAAAAUCUACAAAUAUAGGGAGUAAACAUGAAUGAGAGACUUUAGCAUUUGUCUUGCUCAGUCUGAUCCAGAAGAUUCAGCCUCAAAUGACAGAAAGCACAUACCAUCUAAUCAAGAUCAAGUGGUAUAUAAGGCUAAAUGCAAAUACUAGCAUACAUGUAAACUUUAUUCAGAGCAGUAACUAUUUCUACUAGUCCAGGAUCAUUGUUCAGACACAAAAGCAAUUAACAGUCUCGUGGACUAAAUGUGUGUUUGGCAAAAAUUAAGAUUCAGAGCAAUGAUCAAAGUAGGAUCAGUGCACCAACACAUAAUAGAAAAAUAGCCAUGGGGGCCUACUACAUGCUCGUAGAACUUGGCAAUGAAGUUCUCUCAUUUUUUCCAACAUGUUAUUCGGGCCUCACUUGGAGGACUGCAUAACCAUAUGAAGCAAAGGAAUUAAGGAGAGACUCUAAUUGCCUCAACAAAGGCUUUAUCUUGACUGAAAAAAGAGUAGAAAAAUAAAGGAAAUACAGACAGAAUAGAAGUCAUGCAAUAAUCUUGGAUCAAAACCAGUCUAACCUAAGUUAAAUCCAGGUUUUUAAAGAAUUGGCAUGACAGAGAGCAAGAUGUACACAAGAGGCAAGAAACUGAAUCAGUAAGAAGCCUUGUAAAUUCAAUCACCAGACAAUGGAAAAAACUGGUUUGGCAAGAAAUAUGGAUCACAAGUAGAAUUGUACAUCAUCAGAUGUACCAUCAGUGGAAUUGGAAUAAAUCAUGCUGACAUAUCCAGUCCCAUGCUUCUAACACAUUUUUAAACCCAGUGAGAUACCUAACAAGUUGAACUAGUUUUAGUAAAACGAUCCUUCCCCUUAGAAGAAAAACAAACUGCACUGACCCUUCAACCAUACUACUAAUAUCAACUCCACUUCUCCAACAUCACCAACAUUAUCCCACUCCCGACACCACUACCAAUUCCAACACCCUUGAUCACCACUGCCGCAACACCACCAUCCCAGGAGUCCCCACCACCACAUAGCAAACCUUCUGAAGAUAAUAUGAAGCCAGGGAUGUGACAUUAUAUGCAUUGAAGGUCAGAAUGUGAAAUAGCAACUACAAAGCACUAACAAACAUCCUGCAUUUAGCAAAUUUGUAUAAACCCCAAGCAUAAUAAUCAUGAUAAGGAAGACUGUGGAAAUCUAAACACAAAUAUAAAGCAUUUAAGCAUUCAGAAUGUAAAGGCAACAAGAGAUGCUGGAAACAUUAAUCAAAAUAUAAAAUAAAUAUUAAUGAAGGCCCCAACCACAUGCAGGUAAAGCAUAGAAAAGAAGUUUGAACAAAGAAAGCAGGUGAAACUAACUUCUUCUUAUCAAUGCUAGGUAUGUCACUCCUAUUGGCCUUCUCCACAAUCACCUGCAAUCAACACUUCUCUCAGAUGAGGACAUUGCAUAAAUACAUGAAACCAAUCAUAAUUAGAAUUGACUUAUAGUCUUGAUUAUCCAAAAGAAAUCUCACUGGUAUUCUAUCCGGAUGCUUUUUUCUGAUGCGAGCAGCUUCUGUCUGCCUCUUUUCUAACAUGCAGAAGAUUGAAAAUUUUAUAAUUAGCGGAUAAAAGAAAUAUUAUGUAACAAAAUACUUAACUUCCUUUCCUUCCAUUUAAAUAGAAAGGAAAUACUGAACAAAGAUCAGAUGAUGAUGACAACAAGAAGCACAUCAUAAAGAGAUCAUACAGAAAAAGCAUAAUAAAAAUAGAAAUUGAUAAUGCUAUUCAAUUCACAACUCAGUCUUUUCACAUAUCAUAUCAAUGUCAAUUCCCUUAUUUUCUAAUGCAUGGAACUUUAACAAACUCUAUUGUGACUACCUUUCUUGUAAAGGAUCACUUCACUGGUGGUGUUUGGUUGCCAUGUUAAACCCAGAAAAGUUCAUAACUAACACCAUUUUAUGCCGUUGGUGUCAGGAGCCAGAGUGCCCUGGGUCUUGAUCAUUUGAUGCAUGCAAGCUGUUUUGCUGAGCAAAUGGCAAGCAUCUUUUUGUUUUAUUUGUUUUAUCUUAUGAAGAGUGCCUUCUUAAUCGGCUGGCUACCUCUCAAUACAAGUAUUUCUGUUCUUUUGCCCAAUACCUUGGAUAGGUUGGGUAAGCUAGCCUUUGCAAAUGCCAAUGGCUUGCAAACAGAAAAAUGUUCAGACUGUGGGGCUAACUAAAUAGUCUUCAACAGGCUAAAUACGAAGCUAACAAAUUAGAACACAAUGAAUCGUUUUUUUUUUGCUCUAGAGGAAGCUAAAAUAGGGGAAACUUUGCCAGAGAGCAGGGUAAAUCCUUGGGGUACAAAGAUUAGGGCUCUAAUGGCCCAAGGAUUUGGGCCAAAUAAAAAAGACCCAAGUUUGCUCAUCUACAAUAAUUCAACAAGAAACUAGAAAACCCAGAAGUAUUAUAACAUUAGCCAUAACAUCCUUCGAUUACAGAGGCUAAUAAGAAGAGAAAACCCAGAAUUAGCAAAAAGAGGAAGCCUCGUGACAUGCUUUCACAUGCUAAAGGCAAGAACAGAUCCUCAUUCAAUCUUUCUUGCAAUAAUUGCAUGUCUAUAAAAACCAUCAAGUGCUUCAAUAAAGUUCAAAUUUUCAUGAGACAAAACAUCCCCUAUUCAAAACCCAUUACUCCAAUUUAACAUCAAGGGAAACAAAUUUCACAAAAACAAUUCCAGAUUCCCAAAUAACUCCAACAUACAAGUUGUCAAAUCAGCCACCAACACACAAUCCAAGAAUACCCACAUCAGUGUUUUACAAGAUUUGCCACAAAACACAUGGGUAUUUAGAAUCCAAAGAAAAAAACAAAACAAGACUAACCCAGAGGGUGUUCAAGCUUGAAGUUGGAGGAGCUUUUGGCCAUGGUGAGACUUAUACCCCUACCUCGUCUCUCUGCAGAUUUCAAACAUCCAAACAACAUUACCACACCAAACCCACAACGCCUUCCACCAAGAAGACACUAAAAACACCUACUUUAUAAUAAUUUCGAUGAAGAGAAAAAUAUGAAGAUGAAUAACAUACCAAAAACUAAAAAUAAAAAAAUAAAAUUAAUGUCAAAAUGAAGAAGAUCAGGGUUUGGAGAAUGAUUGGAUGAUUGAUCACGUUUAUAGUGUCAAAAUCAGGAAACAAAUAUUUGGGGUUUCUUACAGAGAAGAAACUUGUCUGGGAUUCCAAAACCAAACCCAAUGCAAUGAACCAACGUUGAACUGAGUUGCCUGUGUUACAAGAAAACUGUUUUCGUAGGCCCUUUGCGGUUCUUAUGCAUUUAGAUUCAACCAAUUUCAAGGUUUGAUCAUUGAGCCAACAAUUGAAUAUAUGGCAUGUCACCAUCACAAAUUUCCAUUGAAGUGGGCCAAUUGAAAAUAAAAUAAAAAUUAUCAUCUAAAAAAAUGAAAAAUAAAAAUUCAGUUCAUCCCUUCUAAACGAUAAGCAUAUAAAGCAUAUUUAUCUUUACUUAUCCUUAAUCAUUUUCAUCAUUAUCAUAAUUUUUUUUUUUGAAAUUCUAUAUAACAUAUAUUAUAUCCCAAAAAUAUCUUAGAAGAAAAGAACAAGAAAGAAAUUAAGUUACAAACAUAAAUAUACGUUACCUCUAUUCCAAAAUAUUAGUCAUUAUUUUCUUCUUUUAUCUAAAUGAAAUAAUAGAUAUUCCCUUAAAAUGGACUUAUUUUUUAAGUCAGGAGUGUCUUAGAUUUAUAAAUUCUGCAUUAUUUCAUUUAUUUUAAUCAAAUAAUCCCUUUAUUUUAUCUUUUUAGUUUUUUAUUUUGUGGUUUAAUAUGUUAUUUUAUAUUUUUUGAUUUAUUUAUUUAUAAAAUUUAUAUUCUCCAUAAAAUCUAAAAAAUGACACCUCAACAAUUUUCCAAAAAUCAAAUAAUAAAUCUUUAAAAAUAUUAACCAAUGAAAAAUAUAAGAAAUUAAUAAAUUAAUUUAAAAUUAGAUUAAUAAUUAAGAGAUACCCAAAAUCUUAAUUAAAAACUCACUCCACAAAAAUAAUGUAGAAAAAUUAAAAUAAAAUCUGAGCAUAAGUAUUUUUAUUUAUCUUGGUGGAUCAACGUACAUACAUGGAAUCUAAAAGGUGAUCAAUGCACUAUAUUGCAAACUAGUUUAUGUCUAAACUUCAAUCUAAGCUCCAAAAAUUUUAAAAAGUAGAUGUAUGAACUAUUUCAUAAAAUAAAUUGGUGGAGGUGAUAAGAAUGUGAUUAGGGUACAAAUAUGUGAAUGAUGAUAACAAACAUAUAAAUAAUAUACUAAAUUAAAUUAUGUGACUUAGGUGGUGUUUGUUUUUUUGACUUUUUACUGAAAACAAUUUAGUUUUAGAAUUUAGAUUGUUUGUUUUUCUAUUUUUUUAUAACUUAUUAUAAACUUUUUACUAAAUAGAAAAAACCAAAAUAUAUAACUUUUUCUAAAUAGAAAAAAUAACUUAUUAUUUUUUUUACUUUUUAGUACUUAAUAGAAAUAAAAUACUAAAAAAACAAACAACCUAAUAUUUAACACUAUUAACCAUUAAAGUUUUAUUUAGAAUUAAGUAAAAAAAACAAACACCACCUAUACAAUGAAUGUGGUAAGAGUGAAAAAUUACAACUACACAUAAAGAAUAUGACUAACAUAUAAAAAAUGUGACAAAAUUAGGAAACUUUAAUAAAAGUACUGAUAUAAAACUUGUGAUUAAGAAAUAGAAAAUUUUACCAUAGUAUGAAGAAUAUAACUAAAGUACUUAAAAUAUGAAUGUAUCUAUUAGCCCAAGGGUUCUCCUAAUCAGGUUUUGAUGAUAACAAAUCAUAGUUAAGUGACUAAUUGGUUUGAAGGGUAAAGAAUCUCAAAUGUAAAUUCGAAAAUUCAGCAAAUUACCAAAAGAAUACAAGAUUGAGACUAUUUGAAGACUUUUGAUAGUAAGAUACGAAUGUAAGAUGAAUGCAUGAGUGCACUUAAGUUUUAUUUAAUACAUUUUCAUGCAUUUUUGAAAACUUGGUUUAUUCGUUAAAAUUCUGAUUUCAUUAAAACUUGAGUUUCAUCAAAUGUACCUUAGGCAAAACGUUUCAAAAUUGACAUAUUAAUUUACCUAAAGACUUUGCCUAACUGUUAGAAAAGAAAGGAAUUGAAAAAGAUAGGUUUUCUGGACCAAAAGGCUGAAUCGAUCGAGGCUCUGGCUAACCGGCUCAACCGGUUGUGGAACCGGUCGACCGAUUGCCCUUGUCCGAUCGAUGAGUGCCAAAAACACUCUCUCUUAUCCAGUAGCUUCCUUUUCCAGGUUGAGGUUCCAUCCUUCCUGGUUGAGGUCCAGUCAAGACAACGGUAGUCUGCCAAAGCAUUAAAUGCUCCAAUGGCUAGUGAACUGGUCGACCCCCAGCUCAACCGGUUGAGGUUGCCUUUUGCUUUUCUUGGCUCCCGAGUUUAGAAACCUAUAAAUUAAGAGAUCCACUUCAUUUAUGAAAAAGAGAACACUUGUAAUCAAUUAUCUACCUAAAUGUUCUUAACUUAAAAGCUCUCAUUUUUUUCUUAGUGCAUUAAACCAUCACUUACAUAUCUUUUAGUGUACCCUUGUGAAUCAUCCUAACUUUGUUUUGUAUUUGAAUCAUCUCUGAGUUAUCUUUGAGUUAGGUUAAGGGAUUAUUUCUUGUAAAACUUGAGUGUUAAAGCCUUCAAGAGGUUUGAAUCUUGAAGAGAUUGUGUAAGAGCACAUUGGAGCCGAAAUCCAAUUGUAAAGAAUUGGAAGCUUGGUUGAAGCUUCAAGCUAGUGGAACCUUCACUCGGUUAGGAGAUUGAUGAGAGUGGACGUAGGCAAGGAAGUACCGAACCACUAUAAAAUCUGAGUUUGAAUUCUCUAACUCUAUCCCUUUAUUUCUUGAUUAUAUUGUGUUUGAAUUUAUUGUGUUAAAAAAGUUUUGAAAAACCCAAUUUACCCUCCUCUUGGGUGUUUUUCUCAUUUAAGCAUAACCUUUAUUUUCACAGUAUCCACGUAUAACAAAUGUGACUAAAGUAUGAAAAUGCGACGAUAAUACUAAAUACUAAUAUAUAUGAAGAAUAUGAUGAUGGUAAAAAUAAAUAUGAUUAGGGAAUGAACAAAUAUGAUUAUGGUAUAAAAAAGUGAAAUCAAAGUAGCUAAAGUAUAAAAAUAUGAUUAAAAUAUGAAAAAUGUAGGCAUGAGGGGGAGUUAUUAAAGUGUCUUUGUGGAACAACCAACAUGAGUUUGUUUUAUUCAAAAUAAUCAAAAUUAUAAUUGCUUAAAUAAGUAGAUAUUAGUUACCUCUCAAAUUUCCAUACAUAAACCUCAAUCUCGGAAAUCUUGAUCUCAAACAAGAUAUGUAUUGGCUCAUGACAACAUUGCAAUAUCUUGAGGAUGAAUAAAAUAAACUAUAGUUAUUACUUUUUCAAAUUAUUUUGAAAUACUUGCAAUUUAUGAAAUGGGUGGAUAAUCUAUAUAAUUAAAAUUUGUAAUGAAACGAGAAUCAUUGAGAAUAUUCUCUAUAAAAGAAAUAUAAUCCAAGGAUGUUACAUAAUGAUAAUGUUGUACGAUUUACAUAAAUUAAAGAAUGAUAUGUUAAAAGGGAUUGAAGGAAACGUAUCUCUCUUAAGUUCUUUUAUAGUCAUUAACUUUAUAAAAGUGAUAAAAUUAAUGUUCAACAAAUAAGAUAAAAUGAUAAUUUAACCAAUUUAUUCACAAAAGAAUUACCAUCUACCAUAUUAAAAAAAGUUCAUACAUAAUAUCAUAAUGUGAUGGUUGAAAGAUCCCUUCGAUUUCACAUGUGAAGAUCAACCAAGUACAAGGGGUUAUUAUUAAAAUAUGUUAUUGAACUAUAAUUUUUUUUACGUUUUAUCCCAUCAAAUUUUAUAGUUCAAAAUUUCCUUCUCUUGUUAGGUUUUUCUCAUCCAAUGAUGUUCUUACGCCAUGGAUGAGGAGGAAUGUGGAAAAGUUAUCAUUCUAUUGGUAACAUUUUUAAUGAGAUAUCAAAUUGAAAAAAAAUUAUAGCAAGUUUUUGUUAGGUUUUUCUCAUCCAAUCAUAUUAUGACGUCAUGGAUGAGGAAAGUGUGAAAAAGUUAUCUUGAAAAUUGCAAUAUAAAAGGUUGUAACAUAGUACGAGAUUUUGUGGAUAUCUUUCUUGAGACAACAAUUUCCCAUGCACAUCCUUAAUGUUUGAUUCUCCUUAAAGCCUACCCCUCAAGAUUAUAUUCUCUUUCUUUUCUCCCCUCUUUUGUUCUACUUUUAUUUCACAUGACAAGUAAACUAACAUUAAAAACAAAAUCGACAUCUAUCCCAAUUCAAUCAAGUCUUUUCCAAUUCUGUCCUAUUGGGAUGGGAGGCAGCAGAUGCCGGAGGAUACGCCCAGUGCCAUCUCUGCAUUACAGCAAAUCUCCCUCUUAUUAAUUGCUUCUUCAUUGGGUUUCUGCAACUUCCUCGAAAGAAUGGCUAUAAAAGCAAGAUGUGGAAUGAGAGUUAUGAAACAAACCACCAAUACAAUAGAUGUACUAUAUAUGGCGAUCUUCUCUUUGAUCCAAGAGAAUCUGCCAAGGGAAGCCGAACAAACAAAAGUCUUCAUACACUAUUGAUCGAUGAGAUGUGGAUGAUUUUGUUCAGUGACAAUGUGUGGGAAAUCAUGCAGCUUCUUUUCUUUUUUCUUUUGGAUUUUCUUGGUGGGGUUGUGAUUGAUCAUGUAUCCUGUUAUUGGGCACGAGUCGGCAUGUAUAAAUUGAUGGGGCAACUACAAACUACCCUCCCUUGUCUGAUAUCUGAAAAUGCAUGUGUUGACAGUUAAUACUAACUCAAUUUAUGAUUUUUUUUUUCUCAUUAAAUUUCAACCAUUGAAUGAUUUGGACCUAAGGGUAGUGAUAGCUAGUGGCCCGUAUAAGUGAAGGAGAAUCUCUUUUCUCCUCCUUUCAUGAACACACGUCUCUUUCUCUCUCCCUCUCUCCCUCUCUCCCUCUGUAUCUUUCUCUCUAUACAUCUCUUUCUCUACCUGUCUAUCCAUCUGUCUGUCUCUUUCAGUUCUCAAUUCUUCCAAUUUGGGUUGUAAGUGAAAGAGUAUCUCUUUUUUCCUCCUUUCAUGAACACCUCUCUCUCUCUCUCUUUCUUCUUCUUCUCUAUCUAUCUCUCUGUCUCCCUCAGUUCUCAAUUGUUCCCAUUUGGGUUGUAUUUCUUCAGACUUUAUAAACUAGGUUGUUCAUAGAAGGAAGAAGACUAGCGCAGGAAACAGAACAUGGGUCAGUGUUAUUCUGCAACACCAACGCAGGGGAGCCAUUGUCAUCAUGAAGAGAGUUCAAGCUUGAAGAAAAGAUGUCUUGCCAAGGCAAAGGAGCAAAGGUCUAGGCUCUACAUACUAAGGAGAUGUGUCAUCAUGUUACUAUGUUGGCACAAGUAUGGAAAGUAUUGAUCAAUCAACUUGUAGCCCACCAUGAUCAGUGUUUUUAACUUUCAACUUUGGGAAGAAGGUGCAUACCUUUUUGCCAAUUAUUUUAUUCCUAAGCUAGCUAGCUAGCUACCUUGUUUCAUAUCNNNNNNNNNNNNNNNNNNNNNNNNNNNNNNNNNNNNNNNNNNNNNNNNNNNNNNNNNNNNNNNNNNNNNNNNNNNNNNNNNNNNNNNNNNNNNNNNNNNNGAUCCAAGAGAAUCUGCCAAGGGAAGCCGAACAAACAAAAGUCUUCAUACACUAUUGAUCGAUGAGAUGUGGAUGAUUUUGUUCAGUGACAAUGUGUGGGAAAUCAUGCAGCUUCUUUUCUUUUUUCUUUUGGAUUUUCUUGGUGGGGUUGUGAUUGAUCAUGUAUCCUGUUAUUGGGCACGAGUCGGCAUGUAUAAAUUGAUGGGGCAACUACGAACUACCCUCCCUUGUCUGAUAUCUGAAAAUGCAUGUGUUGACAGUUAAUACUAACUCAAUUUAUGAUUUUUUUUUUCUCAUUAAAUUUCAACCAUUGAAUGAUUUGGACCUAAGGGUAGUGAUAGCUAGUGGCCCGUAUAAGUGAAGGAGAAUCUCUUUUCUCCUCCUUUCAUGAACACACGUCUCUUUCUCUCUCCCUCUCUCCCUCUGUAUCUUUCUCUCUAUACAUCUCUUUCUCUACCUAUCUAUCCAUCUGUCUCUCUUUCAGUUCUCAAUUCUUCCAAUUUGGGUUGUAAGUGAAAGAGAAUCUCUUUUUUCCUCCUUUCAUGAACACCUCUCUCUCUCUCUCUCUCUCUCUCUCUCUCUCUCUCUCUCUCUCUCUCUCUCUCUCUCUCUCUUUCUUCUUCUUCUCUAUCUAUCUCUCUGUCUCCCUCAGUUCUCAAUUGUUCCCAUUUGGGUUGUAUUUCUUCAGACUUUAUAAACUAGGUUGUUCAUAGAAGGAAGAAGACUAGCGCAGGAAACAGAACAUGGGUCAGUGUUAUUCUGCAACACCAACGCAGGGGAGCCAUUGUCAUCAUGAAGAGAGUUCAAGCUUGAAGAAAAGAUGUCUUGCCAAGGCAAAGGAGCAAAGGUCUAGGCUCUACAUACUAAGGAGAUGUGUCAUCAUGUUACUAUGUUGGCACAAGUAUGGAAAGUAUUGAUCAAUCAACUUGUAGCCCACCAUGAUCAGUGUUUUUAACUUUCAACUUUGGGAAGAAGGUGCAUACCUUUUUGCCAAUUAUUUUAUUCCUAAGCUAGCUAGCUAGCUACCUUGUUUCAUAUCUCUCUAUCUUCUUUAUAAAGUUCAGCUUUUUCUUAACAUUAUAAUCAACAUGGAUAUAUGGUGAAGAAGCAUUAGGGUUUGCAAGCAUUCAAGGGGUUUGUCAUUCAUGAUCAGACUAAUUAGGGUUUUCAAGCAUGAAGGAUGACAAAGGAGAGAUUGGUUGCAGGGUUUUCACGUGAAUACAGUCAUCAAAGUGGGUGUGGUUGGGGGGUUGAGAAAAGUGUACGUACUGCCAAAGAAAAGAGGAAAUAGAGACACAAACUCACAUGGGAAGAGGGACAGCUGAGUGGGUCCUGUGGGUAGAAUUGCUUGAUAGAUUCUUGUUAAUUAAUUUGGCUUGCACUCAUUGCUGUAUUUUUGAAACCUCUGGAAAUAAGACUUUAUAUUGGAAUGUCUCUAGCUAUAUUUUUGCUAGUUUAGGGUUUGAUCCUCCUCGUUUUUAAUGUGCUAAAACAUUAGGUUUUGCACAUGGAUGGAGAGACCCACCAAAAGUUCAGUUCAGUUGGGUUGUGGGAUAAAGAAGAAGAAGAAAAAAAAAACUCUGAAUUCAGUCAUCUUCAAGCUGUGAAUUCAGUCACUGGAUGUGAAUUAGGGUUAAGGCAGGGUCAGGAGUAGUAUUUAAGCAGAAAGCAUAAUACAAACAGAGCUGCUGUUAGCUUAGUUUCUAUUUUAGUUGAAAAUGAUCACCACCAAGUACAAUUAUUUUGACGAGAUGGUUUCUCAGCUUCUUUUCCUCUAACACACAAACAAUGGUCUUUUCAAUGGGGUGAUGAUUUGCCUCUCUUUUUUGUCACCUUGUCUUCUUUUCUAAAGAGACGUGUCGAUCGAUGAUCCAUACCUCCAGGCAAAGCUUCAAACUCACUCAUCGCCCAUUAAACCACUUUCCAAGGAGUCAUUCAACUUGAGCUACAAAUGAUUUCGUACAAUAUAGUUGUUAUAUGUCAUAAACACAUAUAUAAUAUACUCUAGAAACUUUUGUCUUCUAAAUUCUUUCCCUAUUCAACUUCAAGAUAAACAAGUAUGUACAUGAUUAUAAGAAACAAACAUCAACUUCGAGAUAAGCAAUUAUAUAGUUAGGAAGAAUCAGACAUUGAAAUUGAUGAUCGACUGUAAUAUCAUUUGUAAUAAUUUAUUUUUUCUGUAUAUGAUAUUAUCAUUCAUACGUUCAAUGAUUCUUACCAUAUUUUUAAAAUAUAUUUACAUGAUUAAGAGAAGUCUGCUACACAUAUAUUAUGAUGGUUAACAGGUUUUUUCCUUCUCAAUAUGAUUUUGAAACUCCAAUUUUUAAAGGUUGUAGAUGAGAUAAUGCGGUAAUUAAUAUUAUAUGUUAAUGAAGAUUAUCUUUGAUCAUGCAUUAUAAACCUAAGUUUUUUAAGCUCAUUGAUAGUAUAAAGCUUACGCAAAUUAAUCAAAGUUGACUAAGUCNNNNNNNNNNNNNNNNNNNNNNNNNNNNNNNNNNNNNNNNNNNNNNNNNNNNNNNNNNNNNNNNNNNNNNNNNNNNNNNNNNNNNNNNNNNNNNNNNNNNGGUUUGUCAUUCAUGAUCAGACUAAUUAGGGUUUUCAAGCAUGAAGGAUGACAAAGGAGAGAUUGGUUGCAGGGUUUUCACGUGAAUACAGUCAUCAAAGUGGGUGUGGUUGGGGGGUUGAGAAAAGUGUACGUACUGCCAAAGAAAAGAGGAAAUAGAGACACAAACUCACAUGGGAAGAGGGACAGCUGAGUGGGUCCUGUGGGUAGAAUUGCUUGAUAGAUUCUUGUUAAUUAAUUUGGCUUGCACUCAUUGCUGUAUUUUUGAAACCUCUGGAAAUAAGACUUUAUAUUGGAAUGUCUCUAGCUAUAUUUUUGCUAGUUUAGGGUUUGAUCCUCCUCGUUUUUAAUGUGCUAAAACAUUAGGUUUUGCACAUGGAUGGAGAGACCCACCAAAAGUUCAGUUCAGUUGGGUUGUGGGAUAAAGAAGAAGAAGAAAAAAAAAACUCUGAAUUCAGUCAUCUUCAAGCUGUGAAUUCAGUCAUUGGAUGUGAAUUAGGGUUAAGGCAGGGUCAGGAGUAGUAUUUAAGCAGAAAGCAUAAUACAAACAGAGCUGCUGUUAGCUUAGUUUCUAUUUUAGUUGAAAAUGAUCACCACCAAGUACAAUUAUUUUGACGAGAUGGUUUCUCAGCUUCUUUUCCUCUAACACACAAACAAUGGUCUUUUCAAUGGGGUGAUGAUUUGCCUCUCUUUUUUGUCACCUUGUCUUCUUUUCUAAAGAGACGUGUCGAUCGAUGAUCCAUACCUCCAGGCAAAGCUUCAAACUCACUCAUCGCCCAUUAAACCCCUUUCCAAGGAGUUAUUCAACUUGAGCUACAAAUGAUUUCAUACCAUAUAGUUGUUAUAUGUCAAGAACACAUAUAUAAUAUACUCUAUAAACUUUCGUCUUCUAAAUUCUUUCCCUAUUCAACUUCAAGAUAAACAAGUAUAUAUAUGAUUAUAAGAAACAAACAUCAACUUCGAGAUAAGCAAUUAUAUAAUUAGGAAGAAUCAGACAUUGAAAUUGAUGAUCGACUAUAAUAUCAUUUGUAAUAAUUUAUUUUUUCUGUAUAUGAUAUUAUCAUUCAUACGUUCAAUGGUUCUUACCAUAUUUUUAAAAUAUAUUUACAUGAUUAAGAGAAGUCCACUACACAUAUAUUAUGAUGGUUAACAAGUUUUUUCCUUCUCAAUAUGAUUUUGAAACUCCAAUUUUUAAAGGUUGUAGAUGAGAUAAUGCGGUAAUUAAUAUUAUAUGUUAAUGAAGAUUAUCUUUGAUCAUGCAUUAUAAACCUAAGUUUUUUAAGCUCAUUGAUCAUAUAAAGCUUAGGCAAAUUAAUCAAAGUUGACUAAGUCUUUCCAAAGAUGUUCAUGAGCCAUAGUCUCUAGACAACUCAGUGUCACAUCUUCAUUGAUUUUUUGUUUCCCCUCUAUGUUGAAUUUUGAGUUUGUACUUAAAAGUAAACCCUUUGUUUCAAAUGCUUGGGCCCUCAGUUAAUAAUGAGUGGGCAACUCUACUCUUAUUCAUUAUGCAUCAUCUGCCGUCCAUCUCUCACUUUCAAUACCAUAUUGCUCCACGGCUUAUUUUUUCUGCAACCAUGGAUCACUUUCACUUAUAGGGCAUGCAACAUGCCUCAAUUUGGCUCCAUAGACAUGAGUCAGACAGACUGUGUCACUGUGAAUGUACAACGGUGAUGAUUGAGCCAUUUUUUUUUUAGAAUUAUUGUUAAUUAUUUUCGAAAAUAGUUUUAAAAAACAGUAUUAACUUUGGUAAUAUUUGUAAAACAAAUUUUGAGAACUAAAAACAUUUUUAAUAUGUUUUAAAAACAACUUAUAUAUGUAGUAUUGUCGUAUUUUUAAUUAUUUUCUAUAUUUAUAUUAUUAUUUUUUAAAAAUGAUUUGCAGAAACAAGUGAAAAUAAAUUAAAGUAAUUAAAAAAAUAUUACCUGAAAACACUCUAUUUUUUAUUUUUAAGAAUAAAAAUCUAUUUUUCAAUUGCUAAACUUAUUUUCCUAUUUUAUGUUCUUGAGAGCAUAAAACUAUUUUAACAAACAAACCCAUAGCAUCCAUGGUUCCAUCCAUGGAUUUGUGGCCUCCAUGUACCCAUAAAUUUUCUUCAGUUUUUAGAACAUCAUCUCUCCCAAUUUUCAUACCAGAGAGCAAUGCUAGCUAGCUAUAUGCAGCUCCUCCACCAUGGGCAUGACCCAUCAGGCCAGGCACCCUCCUCAAAUUGGUAAUUGAAUUGAGUGAGAGCUUCAUUCACAAAUCAAGGAUAGAGGUGCCUCUGCAAUGGAGGGCUACCUGCCUAAUCUUUAUGUUUUAUGAUCAAAUCAAUGAGGAUCAAACAUCGAUUCCUAGUAGUGUUAAGAUUUUCUGAUCAACAAGACACCAUGCAGACAAAAUGUAGUACUAAUUUAAAAAGAAUGGGCAUUAGAUCAGGCUAAUGAAGACUUUCAACCAUCCUGAUCUUGUCAUAAAUUCAAUGAUAAUGAGUCCAAUCCUGGAUAUGAACCAUGAACAAUAAGGUAGAGACUAGAGUAAGGACAUGACCAUUGUAUCACAAGGCCUGAGUUUGGAUAUUACAUGAAAAUACCCCAUGAUACAAGGGAAAUUGCCCUUUGAGGGAGGGAAAGAAGUAGGGUUUUGUGUGGGUUUUAAGCUUUUUCAAACCAGGUACACAUCCAUGUUUUGUUUGGUAGAAUAUGCGCCACAUGAAAAAAAAUGGGAUUCUAUUUGAAAAUUGCUUUCAAAAAUGGUUUUUUAUUUUUCAGAAUAAAAAAUGGGAAAUCACAUUUAGUAAUUAUUAAACAUUAAAACAAAGUAUUUUCAGAAAACAUUUUUUAAUUAUUUUCACUUAUUUAUUAAGGGUUCUUUUAAAAAAUAAUUAUAAAAAUAUAAAGAAUGAUUAAAAAUAAAAAGCUACAUAUAAAAAUUAUUUUUAAAACAUAUUUAAAAAUAUAAAAAAUAAGUUAAAAGUAUUUCAGAUUUUCAAAUAGACUUUUGUUUUUUAAAAUUGUUCUAUACUAUUUUGUAAACCAAAAACCUUUUCAAAAACACUUUCCUUAACUUCAACCCCAGACUUGCUUCUUAAGUUUUUCAAAUUCAAAUGGGAUAUGGCACCACACCAUAGCAUAUGGUAUCCCCAACUUCAUAAAUACAAAAAUUGAUUGCUUCAGGCUUGGCUCAGACUCAGAAAGAGCUUUUCCUUUGUCUCUAAGCUUUCAAAUAAAUAUACUAUCCUUUUCAUUGCUGGGUUGUUGAGGAAUUCAAUGUCAUCUUCUUCAAAGACCACAUCCCUUCUGCUCACAUCUCCUCCUCUCCUAACAGACACAUCGAUCCCAUUUUCUUCACUUCUUGCUAAGCAUCUUGGAAGCGCCCUCUCCACGCCUCCAAACAACAAGUUGUGUACAAUCAGGUAUAGAUACACGAGAUAUUGAUACGGUUCAAUUAGAAAGCUGUGUUCUAAGUUAAGAACUCUGUUGUUUGAUUGAGCCGUGCCAAUAUCACGUCCUACUUCUCUCAAACUUUCACUAGCGUGUUGCAGCAGCAGCAAUUACAACAUUGAAUUAGUGUAAGCUUCUCUUUCAAGUAGACUGUCAGUAUAAUUUAGCUGUGAGAUCAGUUCGGAAAAGUCAUGUUAAGUCAUAGAUGUUGUUGAGUUCUCUUCCCUGCAGGUUCGAGUGUGCCAUUGCUUAAAUGCAUGCAUGAUGACUGUUCAUGAACCUAACACAUUCUUGCCAUUUUUCCCACUAGGGUAUCAUCAAGCAGAAGCCAUAUUUUCUUGCAGGACCCACCAAGGUUUGAAAUGAAAGACUCAGAUUUGAUAGAUGAUGAGGAUGGAAUAGAACAAAAAAACAAACUUUUUUGUACUGGUUUUACUUGUAAGUAAAGAUCCACCACUUUUUUGGCAAAGAGAGAUUGGUAGGGUAGGUGAUCAGAUUCCGAUCCUCUUGUUCUCAUUAGUGGAGUUGUGUUUCAGAAGACACAAGCCACACUUCCACAUAAUACAUUCAAAUUAUUUUAGGUUGGUGAUAUCAUAAGUUCAUAACUACAUGGUUAACCAAUUCCUUAAUCUAAAACCUAUUUCUUCAGAAGAGGAUCCAGGAUGGAACAAACUCUAGAUGUAAAGCCCUGAAAAGGGGAAAAAUUAAAAAGGGACAAACCAUUGUGAGGGAAGCACAUAUCAGAACUCAGAAGAUUGUCUGUAAACCCAGAUACAGAAAACUCUGUUUGUGAAGGCCUUAGAAGGGGGAAAAUGAAAUGGACAAACUGGGGUUAUAGGAAAGAAAAUGGUCAAAUUAGUGACAUGAUGGUGAUCCUGAGUGCCAUAAUCAAUUCAAACGGACUCUUCUACAACUGGGGUUGUAUUUGGAGGUCUGAUAAUGAAUGAGUUUAGAGCAGAAACCUGCCAUGGCCUGUUUAUAUGACCCAGAGAAACAGAAGGUUCUGACUUGCUAAAUUAGACCUCUGUAAGCAGAGAUUAAUACAGCUGAUGAAAAAUAGAGAUAUUAUGCUAGGGUUCCAUGAUUUGGAAGGGGUACUGGGGCUUAGCCAUAAGACAAGCUCUGAUUCAAUCAUGAAUACUUGAAAGCUCUAGAACUCUAUCAGUAAAUGAACUACAACGAGAAAUUCUCACACAACAGAUUUGCUGAAUGAAGCUUCAGGAUGCAGCAAGGAACUCAUUGAAAAAGAACAUCAACGCUUGCAAUUAUGAAGAAGGAAGAGAAUAAAGAACAAACAGGGAAUUAACCCAGUAAAGCCCAUUUGACAUAUAUUGUUUUAUGAAGCAAAAGGCAGCAAAGGCAGCCUACAAAGAUUGCUACUUUAUUAUAAAGAUCAUGGCCAUGGCAACUUACAAUAUAGUCCCCCCAACCAUUUAAAGAAUGGGUAGUGACAGUCACUUGCAUUCCUGUUGGCUGCUCUGGGGGGUUGGUCUCCUCAGCUAAAAUGGAGAUGGAUCCCCAGAAGCAAGGUUUCUUUCCUCUUUCACUAUAGUCUAAAUUUUGCGUAUUAAAUACACACUAUGAGCACAUACAAAGUUUCCAAAAGGGAAAAAAGUAAAAAGGGUCUGCUUUCUCAUGGAUAUCUUUCUUGUUUUGUGAAUCUGCGGGUCUCUCAGAAGGAAGUGCCCUUCCUGUGUUCAGACAUCUGUUUUGUCUCUCAGAAAACUGCACUCCACAAAGCAUUCUUGCCCUCACCACAACGCUGGUGAACAUCCUUCAUCCUCUCAGAAGAUCUGCAAAUACCACUGCAGCUCCAAUCAAAUGAAGCAACACAUACGUUGCCUGCCUCAGCCUUCCACUCGCAAUCUGCAUUAACAAGUAACAUCCUCAAUUUUAAAGUGCUCCCUUAUGAGCAGCAUUUUCAUUCAAUUUUUUCUUUUCUUUCUUUUUCCUUCCUCUUCUUCUUUUCUUUUAUUUUUUUCUUUUAAUCCAAUUCUUCUGGAGAAAUAGGUGGCAGAGCCAGCACCGGACAGCAUGUUACUGAUAGCACCACACAUUUACUGAUAUGGUGAUCAGACUUACCUGAGCAAAACUAAAUUUCCAUCAACUGGAAGGGCCAAAUAUUAACAGAGGUCCAUGGCCUAUGGUAGACUGAUUAUCCAUCAGUAUUAUUAAGGACUAUGGACUAAACCAAGUGGUAGGUUGCAACUUCACAUCCAUGUUCAUGAACUAGGGGAGCAAGACAAUGAAACACAUGAUUUAUUCUUUUUUUUUAUAGGUAUAUAUUUUAUUUCUUUUCUUCUUCAACUAAGACAUAUCACUAAGAAUUUUCACUUCCAACAAGGAAAAGGAAAAGAACAGAUACAAAUAACAUAUCCACACAGAAAGUACAAAUUAUCAGAUUGGUAAAUUGGUAGCUUGGUACCAUAAAAGAAACUAGGCAUUAACCUCAAUGCUCAGGUAUAGCAUAAUUGUUUUUCAAACUAGGCAACAUAUUUAGGAAUUUGAAGUACAGAGUCUCCUAAUAUGGAGUGAAUCCUACCCAAGUUGGAUGCUCAUAACAGUAUUUUAGGACCUGGCCAGCCCAAUAACUAUUUAAGAUAAUAGGAGUUGUGUAAUGCAACAAAAUUUAGGACUAUCCACAAAUAUUUCGAUAUUUACUAAUAUUUUUCAUCCAAUAAUGCUUCUUUGGGUACUCCAAAAAUCCACAACCUGAUCUAUCUGGAUGAAAGGUUUUACAGUUAACUGCCAUGUGAAUAUGGGUUUGAAAACACUAAUAUAGCAUACAGACUCUGUAAUCCUAGAGUCAUGAAAAAUGACCAUAUAUGUUUAUAUGAAUUGAAACAUUUAAUUUGUUACCCAAUAUAAGACUAAAUGCUUUUGAUGAAGAUACUUCAUAUAAGGUAAAAAAGAACAUGGUAUAAUAACAAUAAUAGUAAUUAUAAAUUUUACCAGGUGGGGUGCCACAACAUAGUCUCCGGUCAUCUAUAUGCUCCACGUCUAAUCCAAUAAACCAAGAUCCCAGUGAAACAUCUUCAUUGGCGUACUUAUGCAGCACAUGCCUGGAAUGAUGGAAGGCAAAAUCACCACCACAAGUAAAGGUUGAAAGGUCAUUUUAAGCAACAAUAUUAGCCAUGUUCAUCAUAAUCAUGUUAGAAAUUGGGCUAUUAAGUGGUCUGCAGCCUCUUCCAAGUCAAGAAGUAAACAUACAGCAUGGGAAGGAAAUAUGAUUUUAGUUGCUAUUCAACAAUUUUCAUUCAAUCAUUACAGGCUUAAGGUUUCAUCAAACAUUUUGCGCAAGGACAGUAGGAACUUACCGGUUGAUUGAUAUAUAAGUAGCCAAAUUUUUUGAAAUAGCAUAUAGUUGUCCUGUAGCAUGACGGAAAUACUUGUUUCCCUCCUCGCCAAAUUUCCAAUACUCUGGUUCAUGGUAUUUGACUCCCCUGUUUCAUUAAAUUAAUAUUUAGAAGCCAAAUAUAAUUGAUUCCUCAACCCUUAGAUGAUUGAAAAAUCUGACAAUCUUCUUACUUCUGAGCAAGGACAGGACCCGACUUCAUGCAGCCUAUAUACACCCGAGGUUGCAACCGAUAUUGAGCCAAAGUCAUUGCAAGUGUUCCUGAGGUAAAUUCAAAGCAGACUCCAAUAAGACAGAAUGGAAAUACUGUACGCAGCAAAAAUAACUCUCAUCCGUUCACUGCAAUUUCAGGCUAAAACCCAUUCAGAGGAGCAAUAAAUUGUUACAUGCAAUACUUAAAGCUUGGACAUGUGGAACAGCAUUCCGCCCUUGAGGCCUGGCUCAAGGUGGCAAGGGGUUAGGGUAGGGAUGUAGAAGGUUCCAAGUUCAAAUUCCAAUAGGGACAAAAAUAUUAAAAAGAAAAAAGCUACUUAUCAAAAAAGGAAAAAGAAAAAAAUUAAAAAGAAAGAAAGAAAGACAAAAAGAUGUGGAAGCAUUAUCAGGCUUUCCUCUAAAUUGAUGUUUUCACAUAUCAUCUUAAUUUCACUAGUCACCAUAAGUCAAAUAGAUGAGCUAGCACAAGCUAACAUUCAUAAUACCUACCACAUACGAUCUUGGGAGGCAUCAUGUUAAAAACGAAUUUUAUGGUUGUCAUAAUCAAUAUAACAAUGCAACUCUCCACGUGUGGACCCAUAAAAUUAUUUUCACACUCAGCACUCACAUAUAUGCACUUAUGCAAAUGUUGAAUGGUUGGAUUACACCACCACAUAACACAUUUGUGCAUAGGCAAUGGUGCCAGCAAUUAACUACUGGAAAUUGUUUAGCCUUUCAUUACUAUUACGAGUUAUUUUAAUUUCAGAAACAAUUUCAAAACCUUCAUCAUUAUGUUCCAUAAUCAUCCUUUCUACCAAAUUUUCACAAGUUUUCACUAUUGGAUUUUUUUAUUUUUUAUUUAUUUUUAUUAUUAUUAUUAUUUUUAAGUAUGCCACCAUGCUUGCAUUUCAUGUUUUCUUGAAAAAUCCAUAAGUUUUAAAAAUAUAUAUAUUCAAUAUGCCCUUCAAUAGUUUGAAGUUGUGUGCACAAAUUUAAGUAAUGUUUUCAUUUUUUUAUAAUAUUUUUCUAAUUUUCCUUAUUUAUUUUCUCUCUGCACAUUUAAGAACUAUGAUUAUAACAAUGAAAUCACAGAUAUUUGUCUCGAAUUUCCUUUUUAAUCUUUUUCUUGAAUAUGACAUUAAAAGUUCCCAACAUCUACCGAUUACAAUAUACAAGAUGAAGGAUAAAAUGUAGGAAAGGGGCAGAACACCUUUACCUAUAUUUACAUGAACAUCGUCAUCAACUUUGACAUAGAAAUCCGCAUCCCACAAAGCAACAGCAGUAGAAAAAUAUGUCUUUGUCUUGCCUGACAAUUCCAGGUAGCCCUCAACAUGAUCCUACUCACAUGAAAUGUAGAAAAACAAAUGGAGACCCAUUAAAUCCCUCAUUUUGAAUUUUAAGAAAAUAUCUGUGUUUCAUCCAGUAAAGUGUGAAAAGCAUACAUAAAGGAACAAGACAACAGCAUUACCAGUCUCAAGAAGUCUCCAUGCAUUCUUUCCUCUGCUUCAAUAGCUUUAUCAAGAAUACCACCAGAUGUCGAACUAGUGACAAAAGGCCAGUUGACAAAAUUCAUCAUAUUCACCAAAUCCACAUUGCAAAUCCCAAGAACUUACAAACAACUAUAAUAAUUGAGUGAACAUAUUCAUCAAAUCGCAAGUGUUUGAGGCUCAAUUCAUGAGGGUGGUCAUAGAAAAUAGAGUUAAGUGUGACACCCAAAAAACCUGACUAGAUCUUCUGCUAAUCAUGCAAGAGGAUCCCGUCCAGUCAGAUGACAUACAGUGAUACUGGUUUUUUCACCGUGUCAGCAUGUAUUGGUGCAUAGCUACUUAAAUAACCAUCGAUAAAAGAUGCAGAUUAAAUAACCUCAUGCUGACUUACUCAAUCUGCAUGAAAAUUUAGGCAAGUUCUCCGAGAAAACUUGAUAUGACAAAAUGGUAGAAAGUUUGGACCCCAUAAAACACCUUAUUGAAGAAUAGUCAAACCACAAGCAUUUCCAGCAUUCUAACAACGUUAACAUGGAAGCCGUGCUUUUAACAAAAACCUAUACAAAAUCUGUGAGUAUUUGGAUUCCACCCUUGGGUCACAUAUGUUUUCAAAGGUUAUCUUAAGCUUUCCAAAACUUGUUUUAACAAUGCCUCACUUCCAUCUUUUACUCAAGGCAACAUCAUUUAGUGGCCAUCUAGAUAUAACUGAAAAUGAAGGCAAAAGUAAUUCUUUUAGAGUAGCAGAAAUUUUUGUUCAAAUAAAAUAUAAGUGCUCUGUGUAUUCUUUCUCAUAGUCACUAAAGUCCUAAAUUUACCAUUUCAUCACUGUGUUAAUAAUUACUCCUUUUUCUUUAUACUAGACCUAAAUUCUAAACCUCAAUUAUAGAAUAUCGGACAUUAAUAUUCUAUGUGAAGACAGCAAAAUGCAUAAGCAAACAUUAGAGGAAAUGGCAUAGCUGAGCAUGUUAAAAUAAAUUCAGAAUGUGUAUGUCCUUAAAUAACAUAGCAUUGAAGAAGGGAAUAUUAAAUCCCACCUGUGACCAAUAACAAAGCGUAUGACAAUGCCCUUUUCUUCUUCCAGUUUCUUUCUCUUCUCACCUAGUUAUUUUUUCCACAGUAAAAUAAUCAACAAAAAUAGCAUAAGACAGGCAACAAAAAGUUGAAAAACAAGUAUGAGGCCAGUUUAUGCACCUUGUGGCAUCCAAGUUGCACGAACUGAAUCUCUUCGUUUCCGGCUACUAAAAGCUGUAUUGAUUCCUAUAACCAUUAAAUAUUUUCUUUUCUUUGUUGAUUCAGCGACAUUGUGGUCUUCUGAUAUGAGAGAAUCAUUCAAUACAGACUCUUGAGCUGCCCUUGCAGCAGCUAAUUCCAUCUCCAGAUUUGAAAUUGUUUUAUCUAGUGUUCUGCAUUCCAUAUAUGGCAAUAAACUUUCGGCUCAGAUUACCAGAUAGGCAAAUUCCUAAUAUAGGAGAAAUCCAGAGAAAACAAGCAUUGAUUUUUCGCUUACUGGACAGCAUGAUGGGUCUUUGAAACUUCCCCCAGAAUGUUGUUGGAUUUGUGCCUUAUCACCUUCUGAGUGAGGCAAAAAGAUUGAUGAAAAAUUAUAAUAAACAUGUCAAUAUUACCUAAAACAAUCAAGGCAAAUAUCUAACUAUGAGUUUGAAUGAAAAAUAACUAGAAGCCACCAGAGCUAAACAGACAAUCUUGUUGGUGGUCAUGAAAUCACAUUUACAAAGAAAUUUUUCUUGUAUAUCACUACAGCAGUUAUCAUUGGAAAAGUAUCAAGAAGCCAUUUUUAAGCUUUAGCAGAGAGGCAAAAUAAGUGCUUUUCAGAUGAGCUAAAGACCACCUCAGAGUUAUAAAGAAGCUGAUACCUAAAACGGAAUUCCCAAGCACUAUGCUUUCACCCUGAAUACUUUUUUAGGAAAGAAUACACCUGGGAUACCGGGCAUUAUUAUCCCAAGCAAAUACUAUUUGUAAUCAUGAAUUAAAAUACAAAUAUUUUGGAUGGAACUGCCCUUGGGUUUCAUAUAUAAACCAAAAGAAGCCAAACUAACAAGGCACAAUAUGAUUAAUAAUGUAAAGACUGCUAAUGAAGAAUAACAGAAGAUAUCUACACCAAAUAUGCCCUUAAAAGAUUUCAAAUGAUAUGCACACUAAAUAAGCCAGCAAAAUUUGUGUUAACAGUAACUGAAGAACAUUCUUCCAUGAAUUUGACCCUGUGUAAAAUGAGACUAGAAUGAAAGUGAAAUAUUUGGAUACAUACACUUGCUAGUUUUGGAGUACAACCCUCAGAAGCUAAUUUAAUUCUUUCAUCUUUAAUUCCAGUCAUCCUCUCUGUGUCUUUAGCUUCAAACGCUGCCCACAUCCUAAAACCAACAGUUCUUGAUUAAUAUGGAAAGGAAUAUACUAACACCAGCCACACCCACACGACCAUUUCCCAACCCAUAAAAAUUGCAAUAUAAGAAAAAUAUUUCGAGAUAAACAAGUUUUCUUUCAACAUAAUGAAGAUAAGCCACAGAUUGCCAAGCACAGCAUACACAGAAAUCUCCCCUUCCAAGAGAGAUAUGAGGAAGGUGAAACCAUAAAUAAAUAAAAUAAAUCAAGAAAAAUCAUCUUUCCCCAAAUGGAACAAUGUGAGGCACAUGCAUAAAGAAAUCCAAAUUUUGAUGACUGAAUGUAAACAGGAAAGAAAGUGCAAAAGGAUUGAAGUUGGCCCUAGUCUAAGAUAUCCAAAUUCAGAAAACCACAUGGAAAAGCACAACAAAAUUCAAAUAUACUCAUAAUAUUUGGAUCCAGGACCACUUCAAACAAGAAUCACUACCAAUCAAUGACCCCAAUUCACAAACACAAUUAUCAACCAAUUUUUUAGAAUCUCAUUCAACACCCAUUAAUAUCCAGAUGUAAAAGAUAGUUUCUAAGUAAACCGUGGAUUACUUUUUCUCGGAAAAAGGCACCUAUUCAUACACAUAUGGGAAAAAUGCAUUGAAGCAAACCAAAAGCCCCCCACAAGAAGAACAACCAUCACCAUCCAUUUGGUUCCCGAGAAAAGUGGGGAAAAGGGAAGAGAAAUAGAAUUUUGAAUUUAUGUUUUAUGCUAAGCCAAAUAAUUCAACUAAGCUCAGUCGAAUCAAGGUCUUGAUCCCAGGCUCCAAAUAAGGAAGAACCCAAUGUACAAAAAUUCUAACUUCAUUGUUUUUCUCCCAGCAUUUUCUCACCAACCAAACAGGAGCACAAAUAAAAGGAAAAGUUCCAAAUUCAAAGAAGAAACAGAGACCCAUUAAAGAAAUACCUGUUGGUGAAGAACAUGCCAGCACAGAAGCUGCUCAAGCAAAGCAAAAGCGCCAAAUUCCGAGAUACAACACUCUUAGAAGGAUACUCUGUUCCUCCCCUGUUUUUCAAAUACAUUUUUGGUCUUGUUCCCUCUCACUAACCUUAUACUCCCAAAAAAAAAAAUCCAACAAUUCAGAGACACCAAUCUGCAAAACCCAGAAACAAAUUUGGAAAUUUCACCACCAAAGAUCAAAUUUUUACGUUCUCUCCCACUCAAUCCUUGUCCCUCUCUCACCUCCCCUGCAUUGGAGUGAGAAGAGUGCAGACCCACCAACCGCCCUCUCUUAAUAUUCCAAAAUACUGAACCGUCCUUCAACAAACGUUUCCCAUAAACUUAAAUUUACUGGAAAGAAAAACAAAUAAAGGAACAGUAACAGUUCCAUGUAGAGGUUGGAUCUGUUCAGUUUUCUGUUGAACUUUAAUGGAUUCAAUUUCAUUUCCAUUUUAAAUUCCAAGUAAUUGUAGAGUUUUCCUUCCAUUAUUUUUAAAAAUUAUGUAACUUUAAUUUGAAAAAUCAAUAAUAAAUACAUAUGUUUCAAAUAUUAGUUAUUAAUUUGCUAGGAUUCAAUUAACAGUUUGCUCUUUUAAUGUUUCAGAGGGAGUUUUAUUUUGGUAUUGAAGUUAAUGCAGCAUAACUGUUCUUUCUUUCCUUCAGGUAUUUGCCUAUGCUUUUUUUCUUUUCUUUUUCUUUUUUUUAUUUUUUCCUUGUUUUCAUUUUUUCAUUUUUUUUCUUUUGGUCUCAUUUCUUCUCCUGGAAGCACCACCAUUUGAAUUUUGAAAUCAGUAGACACCAAUCUUGUAAAGAAAGAAUCUGACAAAUUUAUAUGCAUACAAAAAGGGUGAUCAAUUCUUUUUUGUUGUUUUGCCUUUUUUGAUUCAAAAGGAGAAGCCCAUUUUGAAGUUUGAACUUUAAGUAUCAGCCCAAGUCCUUACUGCAAUCUGAUUCAGGAGGUUUGAGCUUUUAAGUCUAGAAACCAUGCUUGAAAUAUGGGUGCUCAGCUUGGUCCGAGGACCAUGCAUCAAGGGCCUGGUUAUAAGAGAGUGGCCAGUGACCUUGGCAUUGUGUUCAACAAACUGGUUGUGCUGGGUUAACCCAGACCCGGCCUAAACCCGGUCUCUGUGCAGCUCAAAACCCAGCAAGCUGAUAAGGCCAUCUGGCUUGACUCUUCUUGGAUCCUAUUCAAUUGAUCUGCCCACUGCAAAUUUGCACCAUAUCAGCAGAAAAUGUUCAAUAAGCCUUGCCACAAUCACAAUAAUUUCAUUUCACUAUAGAAUGUCCACUAGUUUUCAAUUAAAUAAAACAUCAGCUUCACAUGUAUGAAUUUUGAAGAGAUGGAUUCUUGAUGAGGCAUAGAUAAUAAGUCCUGAUGAUAAACAAGUAGAGAGGUGGUUUCAGUAUCUUGUACACAGGCAAUAAAAAGCCAAGGUCGCAUCAAGAAAGAAAAAGAAACUGAACUUGACCUUGAAAGGGUCAGCUGGAGGACCAUUAUAUGGGAAUAUAAUGCAUACCGAUUCGGAUCACAACAGGGGAUUCUACCUGAAAACCAGAACAAGUUGCACUGAAUUGUAUUGUAUUGUAUUGUAUUGUGCCUUGGCAGGUCUUGAUUCUGCUGUUCGUUCCUAUAACUUUUGGAGGAUGCUCACACCAUGAUCCUAAUAGUAGUGGGGAGGGAAAGGUACAGGGAAUCUUUCACCAAAAUCAUGGUUAUUCUUGUUGGGAAAAGGGGGUAAAACCAACCUUCCUGGUGGAGCACAAGGAUCAUUGAAUUGAAUUAUAGUAUUCAAGAAAUAGAUACAAAGCAAAAGGAGAACUGGUCCCAGGAGGGGAAUUGGGAGGAUUCUACUUUUGAACUACUAAUUCUAUACCAAUGGUAUCGCCUUUUGGAGGAAAGAAGUGUAGAUAAUUUUGAAAGCUUUUGGCCUCCAUUUGCAUCUUCUAGAGAACCAGUUAAAGAAAAUGCACCCUCCUAAAGAACUUUUGCUUAGACUCUCAUGUUCAGCUUACUUGGGUAUACCAGGGAUGUAUUGUGUCCUUAUAACCCUACUCCAUCAACCUUUUAGAGUAGGUUGCAAUCUAAGAAAUUAGAGGUUUUCAUUGUACCUUUUGUAUCUCACAUGAUUGUGUGUUUAUAUAUUCCUCUAGAGUGGUGAUGGAAGAACUUUGUUAACCUAGCUAAUACUGAGACUCUGCUAGUCACCUAAAUCUUUGCUGUUUUUGUGUUUGAUUUUUUUUUUUCCCAUUUGUUCACUAGUUGGGCAUAGUUUCUAAUGAAGAAAGUAAUUAAUAACAAAAUCAAUAACUUCCUAAUGAGAAUGUUGUUCAAAUACAACCUAUUUUCACAUGGAGGCUAAGUACAACCUGUGUAGAGUUACUAGAGGAUUUGAAUAUCCCCACUUGAGGAAGGAUCAGGAAAAUAAAUGUCAGCCAGGGAGAUCACACAAUCAUUUAAGACAAUAGAUUUUCCUAUAAGCUAGUAACAGUAUUCUGAGUAUCCAUCAUGUAGAAUGAUACUACAUUGUGUAUUACUUGCUAAUUUAGCGUGUCAUCUGGUGUCAAAGUCCUGCUCAAAACUUCUAUAAAUAGAAAGAUACAUAAGACCACAAAUAUUCCUACAACAAACUUCUUAAUUGUCUCAUAGUAUGAUACUUGAUCACCUACAAUGACAUUCUUAAUUGUCAUAUAGUAUGUACUAGAUCACGUGUUGCACGCAAACAAUGUGCAUACAUAUGACUGCUAAGCCCUCCUCACAUCCUGAGAGACUAGCAGAGACUGAAUUCCAAUGAUUGAAUGGGAUUUGCUAGACAGAAAGAUACUCCUGGGAGCAGUAUUCUGAACAUUUGGCCAACAAUCUGCCACUAAUUGCCCACUCCUGCUCAAAACCUAUAUAACCAAAGUUGGGAGAGAGACUGGGCAGGAAAGUGAAGUAUCAAGGGUCAAGAAUUUGAUAGGAUUCAAUCAAGAAAGAUAUCCCUAAUGGCAAAUUUCUGACUAUUUGGACCACAUAAUCUGACACAGGAGCAUGUGUUGCUUGCAGAUGAGGGUAUGUUGGGAUUGAGAGGCAUAUACUCCUAACAAGAAAAUUCCAAUAUUAGCACAAGGGGGUGUGCAGGGAGGAGAUGAAUACAUAUAUGGCAUCCCUGCAUAAAGAAAUGGGCUCUACUUUAGUUAGUAUCUAGAGGGAGCAUCCUAAGAGCAAGAAGCAAGUGAUUGGGGUCAACUUGGGAAUGGAGGGUCCCUUAUGAUGUAACAUUUGGAUGCUAUCUAACUUGUUUCUCACCCAACAAAAAUAAAGUAAUAAAUGAAUCAAACAAACAGGUAUGAAACUACUAAAAAUAACCAAGAAUAGUUGCAGAAAAGCAGCCAAAAAGCAGAGAACAAGACAUGAAGACACUUACCAAAAAGACCUGAAGAUUAACCAAUUACUUUUUUCAUAUCCCCAGUUUCACUUACAUAGGUGCAAUUUCCAAUCAACCCAACCAAAACACAAGUCCUAACAGACAAAAAUCUCUGAGGCUGUUCUUCAUUUUUUUUUCACUAUUUCCAAACAGCACCAAGAAAAGGCAGUUGUGACUGCUUUUAGAGAGACUCUGUUCUAAUCCUAGGUCCACCACCCCACCUGACUAACAGUAAAGCUGAAUGUGAAAAAGAAAUUGAAAAAGAUUACAUAGGAACAGAACAGAGAACGAUGGUGGUGGAGGUGGGUGCUGGGCUGAUAAAAGACACUACUCUAAGAACCCAGUUUUUGUCAGAACAGCAUUCCUCACUUUGCUGAGAUCUCUUCCUUUGAGUGUCCUUCCAACCCCUUCACAGACAGAGAAGGACGAAAUCUGACUGCUUGCAAGCUUCCUAGCAAUCCAUUCAUGUGGAGGGACUAUGUCAUCAUCUCCAUCAUCAUCAUCAUCAUCAUCAACAACACAUAUUUGAUGAGUGUUGCCAGCAUCAUUGACAUCUUCCACACCAUCAACCCAUGGCAUAGCCCUUGAGUUCUUUCUGUAAAUCUUUGACCAGUCAGGGAUGUUCAUUGGAGCUGAUGAGUGUUGAACCAGCUUGGCUUCAUGGGAAGGAGUGUUGUUGCCUCUUCUGAUCCCUCUUGGAGCAGUGGGUAGGCGCCAUGCAGAAGACGAAGAAGAAGAUGAAGAACCAGAGGAGUAAUCCUUGGAUUUCCUCAUUAUAGGACUUGAAUCUUCUCUGUCCUUCACAACAGCCCACACAUCUUCUUCAUCAAAAUCUUCAUCUCUCAUUGAUCUACCCCCACCACCACUGCUAUUCCCUAUGGCAGCAUGCCUAUUAGCCAUGGCUGAUUGCUCCAAACCCCACAAAAUUGAAAUGGGUGCGCAGAGAGAGGAGAGAGAAAAGAGAUAGGACUGAGCAACAGAAUCACUUCCUGCAAUAUAAGUAGAUGAAAAACAAAUGGGUUUCUUUUUUUUUUUUGGAGUGUGGCUUUGUUAGUGUGUUCUUGGGAAUCAAAAAGGAAAAGGGGUGUAAGAGAAUAAGGAGGAAUCUACCUUGCCUUUGUUUCAAUACCCUCCAAAAAGAACCAGUGUUUCAAAAUUAUCUCAAGAAUAAAAACCAAUCAGAAGUUAAGAAAGAGAAGCUGUGAAAACCCUUUUCCGCGGCUCUGGAAACCUCCAAACAAGCUCACAGACUUCGAGGGUCUAAAAAUGGUACUCUGCAGAAAUCAAUGAGAAAAAGACAACAACAAUAGAUGUUUAUGAAUAUGAGAUGUGUUUUUUUUGGGUAGCCAUCAUUGCCAGAAAAGUAAGGGUAAUUAGGUUUUUUUAAUAAGAAUCUCAGUUUUCUACUCUUUCCAACCCCUCCACUUAGAAAUGGUCAUCGGAGAAAUGGUCACCGGAAGGUGAGUUUAAUACAAAAAUCUAUGAACAAUAAAUAAAAGAAGAAGAAGAAAGAAAGGAGCAAGAAUAUCAAGAAUAAUAGGCCAAGGAGCCCAUUGAUCAACCCCGAACACCACUUCUUUCUCCUCCUUUGGAAACCCUUCUGUAUCCAGAUACUUCUCGAGAAAAGGUUCCUCCCAAUUUUUUCCAAAAACCAGAGUUUUUGAUUGGAAAGGUAAACAGAAAUUAUUGGUCUGACAAAACUCCUCAGAGUUCCGUAUCCUUAUCCAACUCCCCAAGUCCCAAGUCGCAACAACUCAGCCUAGUUAGCUCAUUUGGCUGUGCCUGUCACCACCACAGAGACAGCACAACGAGACAGAGAAAGAGAAACAACUCUCCACUUUCUCUCUGCACUCACUCUCUCCACCCCCCCAUCUUUUCUCUUCUCUGAACCAACUUUUCUUUAAGCGGGGUGCCUUGGAGCAGGCGCUCAUGUAGUAAAAGCACUUCGUUCACUGGUACACAUUGAGAUCUAUGGUGGGUGUUUGUGAUUUAACUGUGACUGAACUCCUAUCUAUUGCUUCAUUCUUCAAUGCUUCCUGGGUUUUGGGGAUCAUUGCAGAUAACGUGAAUGUAGAGUAGAAGACUAGGGAGAGAGAGAGACAGAGAGAUGGGUGUGUGAAUGUGGGUGCAAUUAUAUGUCAGGGUGGUAGACUGGUAGGGUGAGGUCUUCUCAAUUUCAUAUCAGGAGGGUCCACCACACAGAGACACAAAGGGUGGCCUGUGGGUCAACGUCCUUCCCUCCCCUCCCCUCCCCUCCCCUCCCCUUCCCAUAGGGUCCAUGCAGUGAUUGUUCAUGGCAAUUGGCAUUCACCCACCCAGUGAAGUAGAAAAUAUUGAUUCAUGCUUGGACUUCUUCCGGCAAAACCCAUUUCAGACUCUCAUUUUCUUGCAAUGAUUAUCUCUAUCUUGACCACUUUACCUCUAAAAUCNNNNNNNNNNNNNNNNNNNNNNNNNNNNNNNNNNNNNNNNNNNNNNNNNNNNNNNNNNNNNNNNNNNNNNNNNNNNNNNNNNNNNNNNNNNNNNNNNNNNNNNNNCACAGCCCCACAUAGUCGCAAAACAAUCAUUUCCACAAGUGUUGGUCGCUUCAAUGCCCACCCAAAACAAGCAAUUUUUGUGGCUGUGAAGGGAAAAAUGAACUUCCCCACUCGGAUUCUUCUCCAGUACUUAGUCCUGAUUAGCUGCAAUGUAUAUGAUCUAGAACUGUUUCAAAGCAUCAUACAAGUUUAACUUGGAGAUGAAUGAAAAGUGAAUUUGCCCACCUACCUGUGGUCCAAGACAUGAGUGCAUUUCCAAAUGGUUGUUCCAUAGAGCAGUUAAAGGUGACAAAAGUGUGUUUGAUUAGAAGGACAGUUUGGUAGAAGUAGUAGAGGAUGGAAGUGAAAGGGAGUAAAAACAUUUAGCAAACCGUUAGUUUGAAUAUGGAGGUUGAUAUCAUCAGAAUGACUCCAAAAGAUUAUGAUAUUCCAUAAACAGCCUGCAAAAUUAUGUGUUUCUUCUUUGCCUACUAUAACAUGGACUACUGAUAGUUUCUGCAUAUGAAUAUAGUUACAAGAUGUGCCUUUCAGGGUUCAGUUUAGGCAUCCAUACUACAAAAAGCUUCAGAUUUCAGGGCUUAAUUGAAAAAAAGAAAGAAGUAAAAACCCUAAAGAAUUUUAAAGAGAUUUUACAACAAACUCUUCCACCUGAGCCACAGAUUUGUCACAGGAAACAAUCAGAAAUGUUAUCACCACUUCCAGCUUAGUUUGAAUCUUCAGUGAAUAUUGGAACUUCAGUUGAACUCCUGCUAUGGGGCUUGGAAUAACCAUAUGAUCUAAAUUAUAAAAAGAAUGCAACUUUUCUUCUAAACUUCUUAUUUACAGGAGGGAGGGCAAAGGAAAAAAAAAGAAUUAGAUCUCUGUGUUUUCCUUUUCCCAUCUUUUAUUGUUCCUGUUUCACAGUUGACAAAUUCUUGUCCAGUGCAAUUGAUAUUUGUGUAAUCAAUUUAUGCUACACAGAAAGGAUGAGAGCUCUACAAAUGAUGUAAUCUUACAUUAUUAAGACGGGAAAAUUAAACUGAGCUAUCAAUAUAUGCAGCUAAUUGGGAUUUGGAUGAGCAAAAUUCAAUCAGGGCGUGUCACUAAACCUGUACAGGAGGUGGGGCGCAAUUGGGUCACACCUUACUCUCCAGGCCUAAUCAGUUUCUUGAUUUCACUUGCGAGCUGCAUGGUAGAGCUCCAUGUAGUCAAGAGCAGGCCGGUUCCAAGACCAGUCUUGCUCCAUCACCCGCUUGCAUAAUGAGUUAAACCAAUCCCGGCCAUCAUACCAAGCAGAGAUUGCUCUGAAAAAAAAGAUACAAAAAAUCAUUUCAUAUCAAGUCCUUUCCACUAAUAAACAUAUGAUGUACAAGAGAAAGAGAGACAGCACAUGGCAGUCCAAAAUAUUUUAAUGAGAACAAAUCUGAAGUUAACAGAUGACCUCAAUAUUAAGCCCUGUCCCUCUUCUCGAUCCUCUGCCACUUUUUAAAAUGGCCAAGGGGGAAGUGAUAGGACUGGAAAACACAAGAGAGUUUAAGUUGCACUCAUGACUGGAACCCACAAAAAAGAGGGUAGCUUCUAAUUGCUAGGGUGUCACAUGCACUGAUUAUCACUAGCUCAUCACUUGAGGGGUCCAGUUAUAUGGUACUUCUUUAAUUAUUUAAAGAUUAGGACAGGAAACAGUGGAUCAAAGAAAUUGAAAAUGACUAAAGAAAACACUACCUUUACCUAAUUGAUUAGACAAAGCAUACAUCCACUCACCUAUUGAGAGCAUAAUCAACACCUACAGGAUCGGCUCCAUCAAAAUUGAAUCCAUUUGGUUCAAGGCCUUGUGCUUGUGCUCUCUCUUUAUCAUGGUCAACAUCAAAUACAGUAUCAUAAAGUCCUAUAGGAAGCAAAUGAGCACAAAUGAAUUGCCAAGUACAUUGUCAGUGCCAAGGACUUAAAAUAUUACUCACUCCAGCUUAAUAUAAGCAAGAAGAAUGACAUGACAGAUACAUUUUCAUAGGGAAGGCAAGUUCAAUUUCCAUAAACUACACAAUUGUCAGGUAGAAGAAAAUGCUGAAUGCAAAUAUGCUUACCCCCAACACACAAAAACAUAACCACAGAUAUGCUUAGACAGAUAAACAGAUGCAUGUAAGUAAUGAACAUGGAAAGUGACAAAGAUAGAAUUCCCACUCAGACCCAAGACAAGAUCUCUAGUAACCACUAGAUUCCAUAUGUCAUGCCCAGGACACCCAGCAGCAAGUAUUCAAAAAAGAGAACAAAGCCUAAGCGACUAUUGACAAAUUGAAGAUUCAUGAAGUAAAAGCACAAUCUCGUUCUAAAAAGGGAGGUUGAACACUUCAAAAAUCUGAGUAUAUUCCAGAUGCGUAGAUCAAAAUGCAAAGAAGUGCAAAAGGGCUCUUUUCAACCUAGCAGCCAUACUUUUCCCAAAACUCAAUUUGCAAAGGCAAAUGAAGAUUCGACCUCUUUCUUGAUUAACAGGAAAAUAUAUUAAUUCACUUUAACUGUUGCAUCAUAUAGAACUGUGCUUCAAUUUCUUGCUGUCAAAGUAUAUGUUCAACCCCAACACAGAAAAAAAGGCAGUUGAAGCAAACAAAUGAUUUUGGAAAAAGACAGUCAUUUCUAUCACAACCCUUUCCCUACUCUAUCAUGGCCCUAAUUUGCCAUAACCGUGUAAGAGAACAUUCACAUGAUAAAUGUCCAGCACUUGAGACAGCAGAUAUGAACAGUUAAUCCUUACCACUGAUAACAAUCAAAAGAUAUCUACUCACCUCCAGUUUUACGAACCACAGGUAUUGAACCAUAUCUCAUUGCUGUGAGUUGGGUAAGUCCACAUGGCUCAAAAAUUGAAGGAACUAGAAUGAAAUCGGCACCAGCAUAAAUCUACAAUAUUAUCCAAAUGGGUAAGUUACUACCAGGUUUGUACCACAGAUGCAACCAGGGAUUAUGUAUCUGAGAGUUAUAGAAUUCAAGAUGCAUGAGAGAAUACCAAGUGUGAAAGAGGCUCAUCAUAGGUCAAGCAAAGUCGAGCACGGUCACCAUGUGAAGAAUGCAACUGAUUCGCCAAAUUAACAAAAUCAUUUUGAAUACGAGGAUCUGGAGCUGAACCUAACAAUACAACCUGCCAUCAUAUUUUGUAUCUUUAGAGGAUGGAAAUGGUAUAGGAUUCAGCUCUUAAAAUGCACCAGUUUGAACUAUACAGUUGAGUUAGCUUAAAUGAUCGACAUUGAGCAUAAAAGGCAUGAUUCACACACAGAGAGGAGAGAGAGAGCAAAUGUACAUUUCAUGGAAAUAUAAGUUAGAAUUCUUAGGUUAAGUCCCGUCCUACUCAUUCCCAGGUGCUGAGUGGAUAAUCUAGGAUGAAUAUAAUGUGCAUGUAUAUAUGUCCAUAACCACCCUUGGAAAAGAGGAGAGAGAGAGAGAGAACCUGUCCAUUGCGUUCUAAGGUGCGCCAAAUGGCAUGCUUGAUGAGGUGGAUUCCUUUCUGAUGAGUUAAGCGAGUAAUAAUUCCUACCAAAGGGAAAUCAGAUUUUUUCAAACCAAGCCUUUGUUGUAAGGCUUCCUUGGCAGCCCUUUUGCCUUCAACAACAUUGUCUGAAAUGUAAGGUACCUAGAAAAAUAUGAGACAUGUAUUAGCCCCAGUUGCCAAGGCAUCUGACAAUGGAAGUGAACAAAAGCUCCAAAAUGUAUUCAAUGAUGCUAAGUUUAUAAUCAGACACAAAGGAAAAUAAAUGCAUUUUGUUCCAUGUCAAACCUUCAACAGCAGUUGCAAAAUCACAGAUGCCAUGCAGCAUAUUGAGAAGUAUAGCCCAAUGAAAACUAUUCAAAAUCACAAUAAAAGAACUUUGUGUUCCAAUGUUAAGAAAAAUAAACCAAUUAACUACCUCGUUCCAAUAAAUUUGUUGCUUAAAAAACAUAGAGAUUAGAAUGGUAAAUUGAGAACCACUAAACACUUAUAAAACAAAGCAAUAGUAUGAGUGAAGUGCUUCAAUAUUAUUGAUUUUGUGAUCAUAUAUAGGUUAAAACCUCCCUAUAAUCUUUUCUUACUAGAAAUAUAAUGGUUGGUUAAUUAGUUUAUGAAAAUUAAUGAUAGGCAUCUCCAUUUACAAUACAUUUACGCCAAGAACUGACUUAAAUUUUAUGUUGAUUAUGUGAACCAGAAAGAAAAGUUCAACAAGAGAUCACACAGAAAAUGUUGCUUCUUGGCCCAAAAAUUUUAGGUGAUGAAAACAGAUCAAAGACGGUCAUUAUCUUAGACCUCUGUUAAUAUGUUCUAAUGAUAAGGGUGUGAAUGAAGACUCCUAAAUUGUAAUUAAUUGCUCUGCUUUUGAGUGACAACUUUACUCUCUUUUUUAAAAAAGAAAAAAAAAUUCUAAAUUCGCCAUUGAAUUUCAUCUUAAUAGCAAACUCCUACCACAUCAAUACUCCUUUACAAGUUAACACAGUCCUUUUGCCCAGCCUUUUUCCAGGGCCAAGUACCUUAGCAAGAAAAAAAAAGUUUUGUAGUUUUCCAGAGGAUGAAGGAAGUUUUCAGCAAGUAUUAGCAAUAUGAUCAAUUAGAGUAUAUCAUAUGAAGCAUAAAUCUACAGAAGCAAUGCCCAUCAAAUUCUAAAUUUAAAAAGGUAUGAAGAUGUCAUAGUUUAAUUCCAAGUAUAAUAAGAAAAAGAAAGAAGCUUCAAGGGUCUGCUACUGAUUGUAAUCCUAUUCUACUGAAGUUUAAUAAGCCCAAUUUAGUAGUAGAUGGAGAUUAUUCUUUCUUUUAGUAUUCUAUUUAUGCAAACAUAAAUUAUAGUAUGUUGUAUAAUUUGUAGAUGACAAAACAUGAGGGUAAGACAGCUCCAAGUUAAGGAUUUCAACUUCAACUACAGUAAUCUACUUACAGGAAUAAACUUAUCGUUGUAUGGGUCCCAUAUAUCUAGGUCAAUUCCAUUUAAUAUACCAUGGAACUUGUACAGAUGAGGAGCAAUUGCAGGAUUCCCAGAAACCUCUCUUGAAUACGUGUGGGAUACCUGCAGAUAUGAACAUUCAGAAUUAAGGUGCUGCAAUGGCCAUAUAUGAAAGAGAGCACAGAUUAUUGCAAAAAAAUCGCGUAUGGUUUCUCCUUUUUGAUAUCAGCAAUUUCUUCAAUGGCAUACUAAAUUGAUACAAUGGAAAAGCAUGAAAUCUAAAUUGACUUCCAAAUGGAACAGAGAGGGCAUUAUUGAUUCCACUGAUUUCUAUGCAUCAAUGGUUCAGAAGUCUUACUUGUCUCAGGUUACUAGGAGUUUGAGCCAAAUUAUCUCAAAGGUAAAGAGUCCCCUACAAAUAUCAUCCUCCAAAAAUGCAACCUAGAGUUUUCAUCUAUAAUAAAUUUAACCUUUUCUUUUUCUUUUUCUUUCUUUUUUUUUUAUUAAUUAAAAGAGUUCUAUCUAGACAAGUCCAGCCAACAAUGUGAAAAUUUCAAAAAUGUUACCUUCACACAAUCCUAAUUUCUUAAGAACUCAAAGGUCCUACUUUUUCAUCCAGUUUCAAGAAUUCUCAGUAAUUUUUUUUUCUCAUCUACCAUUGUUCUAUAGUUUUAUCAAGACGCUAUGCGGAUACUGUAACAAAAAAAUAAAAAAAAUAAAGCAUAUUAAAGCAUCAUAACAUGCAUUAUGACUAACAUGCAAACCCAUCCUAAGAAUAAAUAAAUCAAUAAUCAAUAAGAAAAUACAAUAAUUUGAAAUAAAAAAUAAAGAACAAGUUUGAAAUUCAGUGAUUAAGGUAAACAUAUUAAUCUAACUUCUUAACAAAGAAGAUGCCAAUAAAAGUAACUUGUUAAAGCAUAUAUCAAGUAAAAAAUAUAUAUAAAUUAUUGAAAAGAGCAACCAAGAAACAAACAUAAAAACAAAAUUGAAUCGCUGUAAAUACUAAGAAUAAUAUUUAUUGAAGGAAAAUGGUAUGUACUAACAGUUGUAGCCUUGUCUGUGUAAACCAUUGCUUUCGCAAUAAGGGGUGCCCCAAAUUCAAGGUUAUGUAUUGUAAAGACAACCCGAGCUUUACUAAGUCCAUAAUGCUUAUAAUGGUCCUUAAACAACCACGAAACUGGAGCGCUAGACCAAUCAUGGCAAUGAAUAAUAUCCUGCCCAGCAUAAAGCACUAGUCAGAAUGGAUACACUUAAUAGGAACAUACUAACAUAAUAAAUGAAAAUUACAACCAAAAAAAAAAAUUGGUCUUCUGUGUGUAUAUUAGUAUGACAAUAUUCUAAACAGAUCUUUAUUGUUAUGCUUAAUUAGACCCAAAAAUGAAAAAUUUAUUUGAUGAGUUGGAGCACUUGUAAACAUAAUAAUAUACAUCAAGAUGUAGAAACGUGAAGUUUUACCACUGAAGCUAGAACAUGAAUGAGUUAGCGGAAUAGUGUUAAAAAGCAAUAACUUGAUAAAUGAGUCAAAUUAUUAAACUUACGGGAUGAAAUCCACUUUGGAGCAGAAAUUCAAGGGCAGCAUGACAAAAGAAACCAAAUCUUUCCCCGUCAUUCCUACACCCAUAUAUGCAACCUGCCGAAAAAAAUCUGCAAGGGAAAAUGCAUCAAGAAAUUUUCUAUAGAGGAUUUUGCUGCAACCAACAGCUGAAUUUUGUAAAGAACAGAAUGGCAGACAAUCAUGAAUACAUGUUCAAAUCCAGUGUUACACAGAUUAAAUAUCCAGAAUUCAGUUCUCCAUGCUAAAUUGCAACUACUGAGACAAGAAAAAGGUCUAUGCCAAGGCAUCAAUAAUGGAACUUUAGUAGAAGUUAUACCUGAAUGGAACUAGGGAAAAGAUUUUUACAAUCCAAAUAGAAACAAUUUUGAGUCUUUGACAAUUUAAAUUUCAGAGCUGUAACACCAGCCACAACAAAGGCAAUCAGUAGAAGUUAUACCUGAGUGGAACUGGUGAUAAAUAUUAAUACAAUCCAAAUAGAAACAAUUUUGAUUCUUUGACAAUUUUGAAUUCAGAGCUGUAAGACCAGCCACAACAAAGCCACUAUACAAAGUUUCUUGUGAUUUAUGGAUCAUUUGGAAACCAUCAGGUACAUGACUUGCACACAAUCUAUAAGUUAGAUGUUAUUAGAUUCAAACUCAUCUCAGUUAUGAUUAUUACUGUUAUUCAACAUGUACAAAAACAAAAUUUUCCAGUUCAGAACUUAGUUGCGCAUCACAUAUGGGAAAAGAAUAAUUUAGGAGAUGCUCUUAAGGUUUCAAACUGUGAAUUCCACAAACCUCAGGGAGAAGCUGCUGUGAUCCACCAAAUAAUUCACAGCACAAAAUUUCAAUGGUCUCAAAGGCAUAACUAAGAGAAUGUGUACAAAUAUUCUUUAAGGGUGGAUUGAGUUGGAGUUUUUUGCCAAGCAUGAUAGUCCAAACCUCCCAAAAGGCAAAGAUGGGGGUGGGACUGAGAACUACCACAGUUUAACAUGUAAUAUUUGAAGGAUGUCAAUCCAGAAUGUCAGAAUCAUUUUGAACGCAGACAUCAGAAUUCACUCUUUGGCGGUCAAGAUCUCAAAGGCGUACCUCAGAGAACAUGUACAACCAAGGAUUCUUCAAGGAUUAAUCAGAUCAUAAUUUUCAGUCAUGCACAACAAUCCAAGCCUCCCAGAAUCAAAAUGGGAGUGAAGUGGAGAACUACCUCAUCAUGAUUAGGGCAUGCAUUUAUGUGAGCCAUGCAAUGCCUGAAAGAAACAAUUAAAGAAUGGUUUUGGCAUGAAUUUAUUUGGUUAUGCAACACCCAAAAGAAACAAUAAAACAAUGAUUUGAGCAUGAAUUUAUUUGUGCAUGCAAUGCCUGGAAGAAACAAUAAAGAGACUGGUUUAAUCUUGCAAAUGGAUUGAAUUUAACUACUAGAGCAGUUGUGAUUAAAAUCAAGGUGCUUAGGUUGACUAUUGGUAAUUGAACAAAUGAAAAAUAUUUGUAACUGAACUGAACAACUGAAGCACCAAAACCAUGUCAUUAAGCAAGUAAAGAACAUAGAAGGAAACAAAGAACCAAUAAGAGGAUGGUUCAGAGAUGUAGUUAACUGAAAUAUAUGCAUGAACAGUAAAAAUGAGAUACAAAUUCCUACCAAAAUAAUAAUGGCAUGUCUAAAAGGUGUAACAGAACUACUGGAUUACCCAUUUUGAGGCUCUAAAAAGUAAACAGAAAGGCCUUCCACUUUUCCAAACCAAACUUUUAUUUCAGUUCCACCCCAGAAAUAGCAUCUCUUAUACUGAAAGUCCUUCACCUGUUUCAAAACAUAGAUGUUCAAUAAACUAAAUGAAAUAACUAAAAUAAAAGUGUAACAAUUGGUGUAAUGGUUGUCAUACUUGUGCUCUGUAAGCACCACAUUGCCAAAGGAAUUUUGUACAAGAAAAUUUCCAGACUAAAUUCUAAAAAUAAGAAUAAACUCAUUCUUCAACUAUCUCUGUGAAAUAGACCUCUAACAGAUACAGUUAAACUAAACUACCAUCCAUAGAACUGACAUUCAGAUGCAUGUUUCUUUCACAAAGACAAGGGUAUAAUAUUACAUAUGUUCAGUAAUAGAGGCUAAAAUUCAAGAAUAAGAAAGAAAAAAUAUUGAAAUCAAUAAUCUGGACUGAAGACACAGGAUUGAAGCUUACAUUGCUAAGAUUCAAACAGUCAUACUUUGGGAGAAUGAUGUCCACGUGGUGGUUUAACUCUUGCACAGCACGGGAUAGACUAGUGACAACAUCACCAAGGCCUCCCACCUGUAAUAGAUUUCAAUAUAAUACACAAAAAAACUUGAGAAAAUAAAAACAAACAAGCAAAUAUCAGAAGAAAUUAAUAAGCUUUUCAUACACAAGCUACAAUAUUGGGAUCAUAAACAAGACAUCUCACAAACACUCCAAAAACAUAUUAUUUUGGCACUCNNNNNNNNNNNNNNNNNNNNNNNNNNNNNNNNNNNNNNNNNNNNNNNNNNNNNNNNNNNNNNNNNNNNNNNNNNNNNNNNNNNNNNNNNNNNNNNNNNNNCUGAAAUAUAUGCAUGAACAGUAAAAAUGAGAUACAAAUUCCUACCAAAAUAAUAAUGGCAUGUCUAAAAGGUGUAACAGAACUACUGGAUUACCCAUUUUGAGGCUCUAAAAAGUAAACAGAAAGGCCUUCCACUUUUCCAAACCAAACUUUUAUUUCAGUUCCACCCCAGAAAUAGCAUCUCUUAUACUGAAAGUCCUUCACCUGUUUCAAAACAUAGAUGUUCAAUAAACUAAAUGAAAUAACUAAAAUAAAAGUGUAACAAUUGGUGUAAUGGUUGUCAUACUUGUGCUCUGUAAGCACCACAUUGCCAAAGGAUGUAAAUCUGAAUUUCCUUGGAAUUCAAGGAAUUUUGUACAAGAAAAUUUCCAGACUAAAUUCUAAAAAUAAGAAUAAACUCAUUCUUCAACUAUCUCUGUGAAAUAGACCUCUAACAGAUACAGUUAAACUAAACUACCAUCCAUAGAACUGACAUUCAGAUGCAUGUUUCUUUCACAAAGACAAGGGUAUAAUAUUACAUAUGUUCAGUAAUAGAGGCUAAAAUUCAAGAAUAAGAAAGAAAAAAUAUUGAAAUCAAUAAUCUGGACUGAAGACACAGGAUUGAAGCUUACAUUGCUAAGAUUCAAACAGUCAUACUUUGGGAGAAUGAUGUCCACGUGGUGGUUUAACUCUUGCACAGCACGGGAUAGACUAGUGACAACAUCACCAAGGCCUCCCACCUGUAAUAGAUUUCAAUAUAAUACACAAAAAAACUUGAGAAAAUAAAAACAAACAAGCAAAUAUCAGAAGAAAUUAAUAAGCUUUUCAUACACAAGCUACAAUAUUGGGAUCAUAAACAAGGACAUCUCACAAACACUCCAAAAACAUAUAUUUUGGCACUCUUUAAAAACCGGAGGCAGUUAAAUGGAAAAAUGGAUGUGAUGCCCAUAUAUGGUCCCUCUCUCCUUCUCUCCUUCAUUUCUCAGAUACAAAACAUUUUAGGAAGUGUUCUUCCCAUUCCCUUUUUUUUUUUCCUUUUUAGGGGAAAAUAAUUCAGCUAUGAUUUCCAAAACAUACACAAUCACAAGAACAUGAACAAUUCAAAGAUCUUCCUACUCUUUUCUUAUCUUUUUUUCCCUUUAAUACAGACCAAAUUUACAAGAGAGAGAAGUAGAAAUAACUCCUUAUGAAAGGAAAAACUAAUAAAAGAAAAUUGAAAUCAAAAUGAUGGCUAGGCAUAAUAAAGGAGAUGACCCUAUAACUUUGAUGAGUCAACAUCCAAAUUCCCAAUUUGAAACACCAAACUUAGCUAGGAGAUCAUCUCUAACUAAGACAACUUCAUAGCCAUUAUGAGGAGAAAUCAAUGAGCUUAAUCAAAAUAAGCAUAUUGUCACAAGAUGCUUCAAAUGACCCUCUCC